rnacentral:rRNA from 1 species
GACGAACGCUGGCGGCGUGCUUAACACAUGCAAGUCGAACGGAAAGGCCCUGCUUUUGUGGGGUGCUUGAGUGGCGAACGGGUGAGUAACACGUGAGUAACCUGCCCUUGACUGUGGGAUAACUUCAGGAAACUGGGGCUAAUACCGGAUAGGAUCUCUUGCUGCAUGGGGGGGGUUGGAAAGUUUCGGCGGUUGGGGCUGGACUCGCUGCUUAUGCGUUGGUUGGUGGGGUAGUUGCUGACCAAGGCUUCGACGGGUAGCCGGCCUGAGAGCGUAACCGGCGACAUUGGGCCUGAGAUACGGACCAGACUGCUACGGGAGGCAGCAGUGGGGAAUAUUGCACAAUGAGCGGACGCCUGAUGCAGAAACGCCGCGUGCGGGAUGCUGGGCUACGGGUUAUGAACAACUUUCGCAGGUACCGAGGACGGAGUGACGGUAAUGGGUAAAGAAGCACCGGCUAACUACGUG